UUUUUUCAUACCUAAGAAAAGUUUCCAGUGGACAAGUAAUAUUAGCUUUUAUAUUUUAAUUAAAUGUGUAAUAAACAAAAGUGGGUCUGGUGCAAGAAUAAAAACACAAAUCACUGGGUGAAAAACAGAAAUGCUUAAACAUUGCCAUGUCAGAUAUUAUCUCAACAGGUUGUAUAGGAAACAUCACAAAGCAACAGAGAUAGAUUGAUGUCCCAUAAACUGAAUCGAGGAAAAUUGACAGGCAUUUCCCUGACCUCAGUCUGUGUUCCAGCUCUUUCCAUGCCUGAAGGAAAAUCCAAGGACUUUUAGGAUCCGAAUCUAAGAAGUUUGGGUUGCCCUUGAUGUCUGGGAAGAGCAGUUUUUGCAUUUUUCAUCAAUAUCACAAGGCUGAUCUUCAGCCGAUACGUGCAGGUG